CCUCUUUAAAACCCCUAACACCAGCCGACUCCCGUUCAUCGAAGCAAAACACCACAUACAAUCUGCUACCGCGCCGGCCCGUUCCCACAUCAUAUCACCACUUGCCCUGCCUUGCACCAUGGCACCCAUGGCGGCCGAAUCACGACUGCCCUUAGCGGCGAUUGUUCUUGUGGCAAUCACGUCGACCCUUCUGCUGGCGCCGCCGGUGGUGGCAAACCAGGACGCGGAUGCGCUCUCGACCCUGAGGAGGGGCCUACAGGACCCUAACGGCGCAUUGAAGAGCUGGGACCCUAAAACGCCUGCACCUGGUUCCACAUCACCUGUGACGACAACAAGCGAGUCACCCGCAUAGAUCUUAACAGCUUGAACCUGUCCGGACCUCUGGUGCCGGAGCUUGGCAAACUGGACCGGCUACAAUAUUUGGAAAUCGAUCACAACCGUUUGACGGGGCCAAUCCCAAGGGAGCUGGUUGGGUUGUCCAACCUGCAACAUGCGGAUUUCUCGAACAACAACCUCUGCGGCCCGAUUCCGACAUCUGGGCCGUUUCAGCACAUACCUCGGAGGAGCUUUGCCAACAACCCGCGCCUGGGCAGGAAAUGCUAGAUGGCGCUGGCGGCCGGCGUGAAAUAAAGUGGUAGUGGGCGGCGUCGGUUCAUGGAGUAGAUGGAUUUCGAGCGAGCUAGCUGUAGCUGUGUGUGUGCGCCAGAGGAGACAUGUUGAUUAGUUUCUGUUUUGUACAAGCUGAGAUCGAUGUGGUCGUUGCCGUGAGAUCGAUUACAUCCCGUAAUAAAAGCUUUAACUGAUGGUGUAA